AAUUUAUAUAAAGUAACAGAAAAAUAUUGUUUUUUAAUAAAAAUGUAUUUUUUUAUUUACAAUAAUUUUUCCAGUCGGUUUUGGGACAAUAUGAUUCCGUCGCGACGGAACUAACCUUCGGACGAAACUAACCUUGAAAAUACCCCCCUGUUUUGAUUUUACUUGGAAGGAGGUAGUUCAAUAUAGUAGGUUUAAUUAAUUAAGAAAGAAUGGGAUGCGACAACGACGAAACGCAUAAUAUCCAGUUUAAAAAGAAGAAGAAGAAGACGAAACCUUUAAGGAAACGCGAAGCUUCUCGGUUUGAGCGAGGGAGAGAAAAUGUCCAAGUAGAAAGUCGAGGAAACAAAGAUUAUUCAGAAAUUCCGUGAGAGACCGGCUGGCGUCGAUAUUGUUGGUUUGGCGCUCGGACAAAGCGUUGUAUUUGAUGUGUUGUGGUCGGAUCCCUUUAAUAUGAAAACCGGAGGAAAAUAUGACUAUGCUGAAGAAUACAAAAUAUAAUGACGUGAGCUGAAUGACUUGUACGACACCAGCAUUAGAACUCAAUUUAAUAUGGAGACCAAUAAACGCGAUGAUGAAAUGGUCAAGUAUAUAGAAGAAGAAUUGUUGAAGCGCACGAGUAAAACUAAUAACAAUGCAGCGAAUAGUACGAAUAAUGAUAAGGGAUUAUAUUGCUUGCCAGAGGAAACAGCAUUGCGCACAGUACUGGACGCAAGUUAAGCGAGAAAAUUUGAUGAGAUGCUUUUGACGACUUGAUUUUGAUCUAGUAGCAGGAAUAUCAGGCGAAUUACAUUGUUAACAGUAACUUAGUAGCUAGGAAGAGAGCUAGUGUAACCACGAUGUGGCUAGAUCGCCUAAUAGAUAGUACACAGGAUAUGACAAAGAACACACCGUGAGGCAGCGAAAUUCUGUUUCUGGAUGUAUAACUUGCAGGAGGCUAUCUUUCAGCUCCGAAUCGCCGAAAUAAGAGAUCGAAAACCUAAAUACGUAUCGAGUUAGUAAUAUUACUGUGGACUUAGGUUUCUUUUUAUAAAUAUCUUGCGCUAGUAUUUAAAAUAAUUAAUCCUUACGAUACAAUCAUUAUAUGAUAUAAACUUCGAUAAUUAAAUUAUUAUUAUAAAUUAUUAUAAAUAUAACUAUACUUUUUUUUUCAAAGUACAUAUAUUUGUUCUAAAAACCUAAAAAUGUAUGUUUAUGAAUUUUUACAUUUUUUAAAUUACUUUAAAUAGAUGAAACAUUGAUCGUAUACGAGAUACAUAUUUAUGAUUGUACCAUUAAGGUAUCCUUUUUUACAUAUUAGUACUGUAAGAAUCUUUAACUGUCAAAUGUUUAUUAAAAAAUUCAAAAGAAAUCUUUAUUGAAUAUUUUAAAAAUAUUUUUUAAUUAAAUCUCCAAUAGCAUUAAUGAAUUAUGGGGUAUUUUCGAACAAGUAUUUUUGAACUGAAUUUUGUCGUAGCUCGAGGGAAGAAAAUAACACGCGAUUGAGUUAUUCAAACAGCCAAAGUACAAUAAAUUAUGUAACAAGCGAUAACGAAACGGCAUCUAGACAGCGUAUGACGGACGUAAAGGAAAGAGAGGAAGAGGUGGAGGCAGUUUCUCCCGAAGUUUUUGAUAAUGAAAAUAUUUAUUUCGAGAGAAGAUUAAGCACAAAAUCGUCUUUUCAAUUAAAACGUUGAAGAAAAAGACUAAUAGGGCCUAUAAUACUGAGUAUUCUAUUUUUCUUUCUCUUCUUUCAAGUGAUUUGUGGUAACGAACCACGUAGUAAUUCAUGCUUGUCAAAAUCAGCCAUUAAACAAACUAAUCGACUAUGUUAUCAAGAGAUACCGUCAGAUGAAACGACUUCUCACCCUAUGUGAUUUUCUUGUUCGCCUGAUCUAGUUAGCUGUAUCAUUAAAAUAAGUAGCAAGAUUAAGUGUAUAUUGUAACGUACGUCAAUUAUGGAAAGGCUGAAUAUAAUUGCAGAGUUUAUUUCACCUUUUAAAUGUUGCAACCGCAAGUGCUGCGAUUGAGAUUUCUCGGUCCCUUGUUAAUUGAUAGCAGCAACUGUCAUCUCGUAAUCAUUAUUCUAUGUGCAUGAUGGAAAAGGUGCGAUCACGUACUCAAUGCCAAUGUAAUUAAUCGCUUUAUUGCAACUGAUUUCUUCCGUUCGAUACUUUAAUUUUGGAUAAUAGAAGGUUUGAUUAUCUGUAUACCACUUCUACAAUUUCGGUUGUAUACUUUGUCUUGCGAUACUAACUGAAUGCACAAACUAAAAUAUCUACCGCUAUCUUUGUCUACAGGUUAUUUACAAUUUGUAAUAAUGUAUAAUUUAUAACUUAUAUAUUUUAUAUAUUAAUUAUAGCAUCUUAUUUUUAAAGCAUCUAUUUUAAGUAUUUUUUGUCAAUAAAUAUAUACAGAUUAAAAUUAAACAAUGUAAAUUCACGUACCUUUGUAAGAUCAGUUGCUGUGCACUCGAUAAAAAUAUUUUUUGUAUUAAGUGUGAUCUUUGAAUGACUUCCAUUAAUGUUAACCAUCGCCCAAGAAAAGUAUUGGCAUCGUUUAUAAUGCUGCUCAAUAAUUUUCCCGAUUUGUUCGGCAAAAUGCAAAGAUAUCGAUUACGACGAUUGGAAUCAUUUUCAUCGCCUCCACCGCAGCUUUCGAGUGCCGAGUUGGAGGCCACGUUUGAUAAAUUAUUAGAAGAAUUCCAGGCCACACUACCGGGUUAUAUCACAGAUUAAUUGUUUGUUUUCAUGUACAGAUAUUCAACAUGUCUUUGUCAUCUUUCCAUCGUAUAUUGAUAGAUUCAAAAAUUUAAUAUAAAAAUAUUACUUUUCUUUACAGUUACUGAUUAUAAUAACGAUAAUGGUUGUUUAUAUAAAACAAAAGCAUACAAUAAAA